rnacentral:rRNA from 1 species
AACGAACGCUGGCGGCGUGGAUAAGACAUGCAAGUCGAACGGGAACUUCAGCUGUAGCAAUACAGUUGAAGUUUUAGUGGCGAACGGGUGCGUAACACGUGGGCAAUCUGCCGAGAAGUGGGGGAUAGCUCGCCGAAAGGCGAAUUAAUACCGCAUAUGAUCAGCUAAGACAUCUUAGCGACAUCAAAGCCGGGGCAACCUGGCGCUUUUUGAGGAGCCCGCGGCCUAUCAGCUAGUUGGUGAGGUAACGGCUCACCAAGGCUAUGACGGGUAGCUGGUCUGAGAGGACGACCAGUCACACUGGAACUGAGACACGGUCCAGACACCUACGGGUGGCAGCAGUCGAGAAUUUUUCUCAAUGGGGCAACCCUGAAGGAGCGACGCGCGUGGAGGAUGAAGGCUUUUCGGGUUGUAAACUCCUGUC